UACGUAGGUGGCAAGCGUUGUCCGGAUUUACUGGGCGUAAAGCGCGCGCAGGCGGUCGUUCAAGUCGCGUGUGAAAGCCCCCGGCUCAACCUGGGAAUGGCCGUUGAAACUGGCGAACUGGAGUGUGGCAGAGGGGGGUGGAAUUCCGCGUGUAGCAGUGAAAUGCGUAGAGAUGUGGAGGAACACCAGUGGCGAAGACGGCUUUCUGGUCUGUAACUGACGCUGAGGCGCGAAAGCGUGGGGAGCAAACAGG
rnacentral:rRNA from 1 species